UGGAAAAAUGUUUCGUUGUCUGCUGCAAUGCAGAACAUAUGUCCAUAAAUUUUCUCCCGGUUACGGUAAAACAGCUUAAUUUAAUCCUUUCUUUCAAUGUGUCUGAAAUGUUGCCAAAGAAAGUUGUAGUUUGUCAGCCAAGGAAGGAGUCCUUUGAAAACUAUCAACAUUAUACAGGAAGAUUUACCAAAAAUACUUAGGAGGUUCUGCUCAUCUCAAAUCUGCAGAUAAUAGUGACGCCACGUGUUUGGUUCCCCCCAAAGGACCAGAGUUAAUUCUGCCCCUGACAGCCAGCACUGUGUACUAAGCCUUUUCUGGAUGCUGGAAAUUGAUUAGUGUGCAGAAGACUUGCCCGUGCCCGUCUCUGUCUCGCACGUUCCCUCCUCCCCUCCAGCCCUGCACAGGACUGUCUGUCCAUCUCCGGUAUGUUGAGCCAAUCAGCCAGGCGCUCCACACACGCUUAAUGAGCUCACGAGGGACGUGACAUGACUGCAGCGACAAGCGUUCACCGCCUUCCCCAAAAAAGAAAAAAAAAAAAAAAAAAUCAGCAUCCA